rnacentral:tRNA from 1 species
UGUAUUUUGGUGUAUGGUGCACGUGGGUUUUUGAUACCCUCGGGGUCAGUUUAAUUCUGUCAAAUGCAA